AGGAGCGCUCUGGUGACAGAGCUCAUCAGGAAAUGGGGAAGUUUCAGGUGAAAAAAUGUCACCCAUCCCCAGCUCUGAGCCUGGGAUAUCUUGCAGUCUGUUGCCAUUUGGUGAACUGAUUCAGCUGGACAUUUGCAUCCACAUCCAUCAGCUCACUGCUAAGGACACGUCUCCAACUCAGGCUCCACGUGUUUUAUUUGGGCAAGUCUGCCCUUUUGAUAUUUGGCAAGGUUUGCCCCAGAUCUGUUCUCAUGUGGGGAGCUCUGAAGUGACACACAGAAGUCCUCCUCCUGGUGCAGCCCAUGUGAUGACGCUUCUUCCCAUGAUGGCAGAGGGUGCCAGUCACCAGUCCUGAGGCAAAGGAGCCCAUCUCCAAGCCCUGGCUCUACAUGAAAGGACCUGCUGCCACCAUGCAAUGACCACUUCAGGGAUCCAGAGACAAAAACGUCACUCACAGGUGCCUGACGCAAGGUCAGCCCCGUGGGUGCUGUGCGGAUUGGAGACUUCUGUUGCCCUCUCCUCGCCUUAGAAAGGUGGAUGUGGGAGAGCCAUGCUCUAAUUCCUCAUUCAGAUCUGCUCUGAUUUUGGCCCCCAGGUGGCUGCACCUCAGCUUAUUUCCACCACAAUAUCCCUGUCUCAACAGGGCUUCCCAGCCUGCAGUGCUGAAACGUCCCGUUCUGGCCCCUGCUUGGAUGUGCAGCUGCAGAGAAUAUCCAAGGACCUUUGGUGCUUUGUCCACCCCUGAAAUUUGGCUCCUCUGAUGUGGGAUACAGCAGCCAGUCCCCAGCCCCACAGCAGGGCCACAUCAGGGCACGAGGGGAAGGGCAUCUUAUAACUGGAAAACAGGAGGCAGUCAGACAUGGACAUCCUAGGUGGAUCUGAACACCGCAGGUGGAUCUCAGCCAGGCUCUGCCUUUUGAAGUCCCAGUGAAAAUGACAGUGGUUAAUAAAAUCAGGCAGCCAAGGUUAGCAGCACCAUUUUUCUCAGAGGUAAGUUAAGUAAGAGGAAAUAGUUUUUUAGCCAAAAUGACCUGAAAGUCUAUUUUACAGCCAUGUGCAUUAACUCUUAAGUGGCAGCAAGGUUUGGAAGGGCCUCUAAUGGCUUUUAUGAAACUUUCAAAGUGGGCUGUAACAGAGCAGCUUUGGAAAUGGCUCAUAUUUUCUGAAAUGACUCAAAAAGGCACCAUUAGAGUAGCCUGAAUUUCCUAUACUCCUGAAGCUAGGCAAAGAAACAUUAAAAAAUAGACAUUUUUAAAUCCAAUCCUCCUUCUUUUCUGUAGUUUUAAUCAUUCCCUGCGGUACCUGCAACCCAAACAAUGAAGCACUGUACUGUGGUUUGAGAACCGAUCAUUAAUGUUUAUGAGACACUGAGAUAACAGGGGAAGAGAGGCAUAGAAAUAGUGCGUCUGAAUAAAUGAGAGAAGUAAUAUGUUCAGUCUCUGCAAUUACUCAUGUUCUCAGAGCCAAGGAGGUGCCCAAGUUUUGGUAGGUUUGGGCCUCGACCUGAUCCAAAGAUACUUUCAGAUCAGCCUGUUUGCUACAUGAUCAGAGCACUUCCAGGAUCCACUCUGCUUUUCUAGGUAGCAACGAGAGAAGCUGUUGGACACCAGGAAUUUGGCAUUAUAACCACAUUACUUCAGCUGCAUUAGUGAUACAGAGGAAGGCCAGUCAUCAGAAUGCUGUGUUGAUAAAUAACACAAAAAUAUGGAGCUAGGGAGGUCUGGAAGGAUAAACAGCAUUUAGGUUUAACAGUGCAAAUUUCAUUAGAAAUGGAUAAAUGUGCUUCCAUUUUCCUGAUCCCGGACAUUCCUGGGUGCAUAGGCCAUGGCUGUUCUAUUUUUAAAAUCAACAAGUUCUUCUGAGGAAAAGAAGGAUCUUGAUCUCGUGACUGCCACAGUAGACUGCCACAGCUGCCACUCCUGCAGCCAAGCGAUAUACUUUCUGCCAGCUGGACUUAAUCUCUCCCUAAAUUCUGUCCUCAAGAUGCACAAGCUGUCUUUUAUCUGGCACAUCGGUCUAGACCAAUGGCAUUGAGAUAUUUCAAGAUAUCAUCUGGGAGAGCAAGAUAGAUCAAGGUGAGUUGAUUUGUCAGGUGUAUCUUGCACACUGCAAGGCACAUACCUGUGCAUUGCCCUGGCAGCUUUGGCUGUGUGGUGCCUUGCUGUAACAGCUCCUUUGCAGCAUGUUGGACCAUUCACUGGCUGCAGGUCCCUGGACUCUUGGGGACCAAGGGGCUGCUCUGCGAGAUCCAAGUGCUGGUAGAUCCUUACCUAGCACUCAUCACACACGCACACACACACGCACAUGCAUACACACUACUAUGCAUAGGAAAGGCUGAGGCAAUCCUUUCUAACUGCUCUGCAUUUGUAUCCCUUGAGCAAUCCUGAGGGCAUUGUUCUUAUUGGAGUAGUUGUAUCAAAGCUGCAUUUUGAUGAGAAGAAACUUCUUUCCCUCAUAAAGCUGGAUCCACUGUGAUGACAACUCUGCACAUUGUUUUGCAUGGGAAGGUGUUUCACCCCGAGAAACUGCAAAACUGUGAUCCUGCUUCCUUUUCCUGACUGUGUGAUUGUUCUCCCUUGUCUCUGCAUUACAGCGUGGCACACCAUGCCUGACAGCUGCAGCCCCAUCACCAGGGCACACCACAUAAUAAAUGCAACCUUCUAUUAUCUUUA